rnacentral:rRNA from 1 species
GGGUUGUGAGGUUAAGCGACUAAGCGUACACGGUGGAUGCCCUGGCAGUCAGAGGCGAUGAAGGGCGUGCUAAUCUGCGAUAAGCGCCGGUAAGGUGAUAUGAACCGUUAUAACCGGCGAUACCCGAAUGGGGAAACCCAGUGUGACUCGUCACACUAUCAUUAACUGAAUCCAUAGGUUAAUGAGGCGAACCGGGGGAACUGAAACAUCUAAGUACCCCGAGGAAAAGAAAUCAACCGAGAUUCCCCCAGUAGCGGCGAGCGAACGGGGAGGAGCCCAGAGCCUGAAUCAGCAUGUGUGUUAGUGGAAGCGUCUGGAAAGGCGCGCGAUACAGGGUGACAGCCCCGUACACAAAAGCGCAUGUGCUGUGAGCUCGAUGAGUAGGGCGGGACACGUGGUAUCCUGUCUGAAUAUGGGGGGACCAUCCUCCAAGGCUAAAUACUCCUGACUGACCGAUAGUGAACCAGUACCGUGAGGGAAAGGCGAAAAGAACCCCGGCGAGGGGAGUGAAAAAGAACCUGAAACCGUGUACGUACAAGCAGUGGGAGCACCCUUUGGGGUGUGACUGCGUACCUUUUGUAUAAUGGGUCAGCGACUUAUAUUCUGUAGCAAGGUUAACCGAAUAGGGGAGCCGGAGGGAAACCGAGUCUUAA